GUAACCGUAAUAAAAUUGACUGUUAUUCCCCAUGAGGUGUAAAGUACUGUCAUUUCUUUAUUUGCAAUCUAACAGUUACUUUUGCAGCCUCAAAUGUGAAAUGCUUCAAAUAGCCCCUGGAGUUUGAUUGACAGGUGUUCAACCAAUCAUCACGCCGAAUCCGCCAUUUUGUCCGACAAAGCAGUCAAGGGAGUUUAGUAGAUUAACAUUGUCGGUGGACUUGAACUUGAAAAAUGUAGGAAGAGAUUAUCGGUUUACGAGCCGCUUGAAAUGAGGCACUACAGUGAUCUGUCAAGAGUCACGACACAUUAAAGAGCCACUAAACGUGUCCUCAUUGCUCAGCGAUGUGUUUUUCAUUGCGUGAGAACAUGACGUGUGGCUUGAGUCCUUGAGAGUGAGACACUGGAAAUCCGGAAACAUAGGCAGCUGACUUAGGCCUCGC